AGCAGUCGCCGCGGUAAUACAGAGGAUGCAAGCGUUAUCCGGAAUGAUUGGGCGUAAAGCGCGCGUAGGUGGUUUUUUAAGUCUGAUGUGAAAGCCCACGGCUCAACCGUGGAGGGUCAUUGGAAACUGGAAAACUUGGGUGCAGAAGAGGAAAGUGGAAUUCCAUGUGUAGCGGUGAAAUGCGCAGAGAUAUGGAGGAACACCAGUGGCGAAGGCGACUUUCUGGUCUGUAACUGACGCUGAGGAGCGAAAGCGUGAGGAGCGAACAGGAUUAGAUACCCCUGUAGUCCCUGUCUCUUAUAC
rnacentral:rRNA from 1 species